AGCCUUCCUGUUAACUCUUAAUAAACUUACACAUGCAAGCAUCUACACCCCAGUGAGAAUGCCCUCUAGGUUAUUAAAACUAAGAGGAGCUGGCAUCAAGCACACACCCUGUAGCUCACGACGCCUUGCUUAACCACACCCCCACGGGAAACAGCAGUGACAAAAAUUAAGCCAUAAACGAAAAGUUUGACUAAGUUAUAUUAAUUAGGGUUGGUAAAUCUCGUGCCAGCCACCGCGGUCAUACGAUUAACCCAAGCUAACAGGAGUACGGCGUAAAACGUGUUAAAGCACCAUACCAAAUAGGGUUAAAUUCUAACUAAGCUGUAAAAAGCCAUGAUU
rnacentral:rRNA from 1 species